UACGGGGGGGGCAAGCGUUGUUCGGAAUUACUGGGCGUAAAGGGCGCGUAGGCGGCCUGCUAAGUCGGACGUGAAAUCCCUCGGCUCAACCGGGGAACUGCGUCCGAUACUGGUGGGCUCGAAUCCGGGAGAGGGAUGUGGAAUUCCAGGUGUAGCGGUGAAAUGCGUAGAUAUCUGGAGGAACACCGGUGGCGAAGGCGGCAUCCUGGACCAGUAUUGACGCUGAUGCGCGAAAGCCAGGGGAGCAAACGGG
rnacentral:rRNA from 1 species